rnacentral:rRNA from 1 species
GUUGCAGUUAAAAAGCUCGUAGUCGAAUGUAGAGAUGACGAUGCUGAUCUGACUUUUAGGAGACAGAAAUUGGCAUUGUUAUCUCUUUUUACCGAUCCCUCGUUGGUUUUUAGCUAAACCAAUGGGGCAGUAGCGGUAAUUUUUACUGUGAAUAAAUUAGAGUGUUCAUGGCAGGCCGAAAGGGCUUAGAUAUUUCAGCAUGGAAUAAUAGAAUAGGACUUCUGGUUCUGUUUGGUUAGGUUUUUGGAGCCGAAGUAAUGAUUAAUAGGAAUAGUUGGGGGCACUCGUACUCCGUU